UACGUAGGGUGCAAGCGUUGUCCGGAAUUAUUGGGCGUAAAGAGCUCGUAGGUGGCUUGUCGCGUCGGCUGUGAAAACUCCGGGCUGGCAUCAUCCGAGCCGCUUGCAGUCGAUACGGGCAGACUUGAGUGUGGUAGGGGAGACUGGAAUUCCUGGUGUAGCGGUGAAAUGCGCAGAUAUCAGGAGGAACACCGAUGGCGAAGGCAGGUCUCUGGGCCACUACUGACGCUGAGAAGCGAAAGCAUGGGGAGCGAACAGG
rnacentral:rRNA from 1 species